rnacentral:rRNA from 1 species
AUUGAACGCUGGCGGCAGGCCUAACACAUGCAAGUCGAGCGGAUGAAGGGAGCUUGCUCCUGGAUUCAGCGGCGGACGGGUGAGUAAUGCCUAGGAAUCUGCCUGGUAGUGGGGGAUAACGUCCGGAAACGGGCGCUAAUACCGCAUACGUCCUGAGGGAGAAAGUGGGGGAUCUUCGGACCUCACGCUAUCAGAUGAGCCUAGGUCGGAUUAGCUAGUUGGUGGGGUAAAGGCCUACCAAGGCGACGAUCCGUAACUGGUCUGAGAGGAUGAUCAGUCACACUGGAACUGAGAAACGGUCCAGACUCCUACGGGAGGCAGCAGUGGGGAAUAUUGGACGAUGGGCGAAAGCCUGAUCCAGCCAUGCCGCGUGUGUGAAGAAGGUCUUCGGAUUGUAAAGCACUUUAAGUUGGGAGGAAGGGCAGUAAGUUAAUACCUUGCUGUUUUGACGGUACCAACAGAAUAAGCACCGGCUAACUUCGUG